rnacentral:rRNA from 1 species
GCAAGGUCCGUGCCACGGGCCGCGGGAAGACGGGGGGGGCAAGCGUUGGUCGGAAUGACUGGGCGUAAAGGGCGCGUAGGCGGCCCGCUAAGUCGAACGGGAAAUCCCGUAGCUCAACGCGGGAACUGCGUCCGAUACUGGCGGGCUUGAAUCCGUGAGAGGGAUGCGGAAUUCCAGGUGUAGCGGUGAAAUGCGUAGAUAUCUGGAGGAACACCGGUGGCGAAGGCGGCAUCCUGGACCGGUAUUGACGCUGAGGCGCGAAAGCUAGGGGAGCAAACGGGAUUAGAUACCCGUGUAGUC